UGCGUAGACGGCAUGUUAAGUCCGCUGUUAAAUUUCCCGGCCUAACUGGGAGCAAGCGGUGGAUACUGAUGUGCUAGAGGAUGGAAGAGAGAAGUGGAAUUCCCGGAGUAGCGGUAAAAUGCGUAGAUCUCGGGAGGAACACCAAUGGCGAAGGCAGCUUCUUGGUCCAUAUCUGACGUUGAGGCACGAAAGCGUGGGGAGCAAACA
rnacentral:rRNA from 1 species